rnacentral:rRNA from 1 species
UUGACCUCGGAUCAGGUAGGGAUACCCGCUGAACUUAAGCAUAUCAAUAAGCGGAGGAAAAGAAACCAACAGGGAUUGCUCUAGUAACGGCGAGUGAAGCAGCAAUAGCUCAAAUUUGAAAUCUGGCGUCUUCGGCGUCCGAGUUGUAAUUUGUAGAGGAUGCUUCUGGGCAGCCACCGACCUAAGUUCCUUGGAACAGGACGUCAUAGAGGGUGAGAAUCCCGUAUGCGGUCGGAAAGGCACCCUACACGUAGCUCCUUCGACGAGUCGAGUUGUUUGGGAAUGCAGCUCUAAAUGGGAGGUAAAUUUCUUCUAAAGCUAAAUAUUGGCCAGAGACCGAUAGCGCACAAGUAGAGUGAUCGAAAGAUGAAAAGCACUUUGGAAAGAGAGUUAAAAAGCACGUGAAAUUGUUGAAAGGGAAGGGAUUGCAACCAGACUUGCUCGCGGUGUUCCGCCGGUCUUCUGACCGGUCUACUCGCCGCGUUGCAGGCCAGCAUCGUCUGGUGCCGCUGGAUAAGACUUGAGGAAUGUAGCUCCCUCGGGAGUGUUAUAGCCUCUUGUGAUGCAGCGAGCGCCGGGCGAGGUCCGCGCUUCGGCUAGGAUGCUGGCGUAAUG